UACAGAGGCCCCAAGCGUUACUGAGAAUCACUGGGUUUAAAGGGUGCGUAGGUGGCGCGUUAAGUCCGUUGUGAAAUCCCUUGGCUCAACCAAGGAACUGCUUCGGAUACUGGCGUGCUUGAGGCUAGUAGGGGUCACUGGAACUGACGGUGGAGCGGUGAAAUGCGUAGAUAUCGUCAGGAACGCCGAUGGUGAAGACAGGUGACUGGGCUAGUUCUGACACUGAGGCACGAAAGCGGGGGGAGCGAACGGG
rnacentral:rRNA from 1 species